UACGUAGGGUGCGAGCGUUAAUCGGAAUUACUGGGCGUAAAGCGUGCGCAGGCGGUUCGUUGUGUCCGUCGUGAAAGCCCCGGGCUUAACCUGGGAACUGCGAUGGAAACUAGCGAGCUGGAGUGUGGCAGAGGGGGGUGGAAUUCCGCGUGUAGCAGUGAAAUGCGUAGAGAUGCGGAGGAACACCGAUGGCGAAGGCAGCCCCCUGGGCUAAUACUGACGCUCAGGCACGAAAGCGUGGGGAGCAAACAGG
rnacentral:rRNA from 1 species